rnacentral:rRNA from 1 species
GAUGAACGCUAGCGGCAGGCUUAAUACAUGCAAGUCAAGGGGUAGCAAUACAACCGGCGCACGGGUGAGUAACGCGUACACAACAUACCAUAUACUGGAGUAUAGCUUUGGGAAACUGAAGGUAAUCCUCCAUAACAUUGCGAGAGGGCAUCUGAUUGCAAUUAAAGUUUCGGCGGUAUAUGAUUGGUGUGCGUUUGAUUAGCUAGUUGGUAGGGUAACGGCCUACCAAGGCGACGAUCAAUAGCUGGCGUGAGAGCGCGACCAGCCACACUGGAACUGAGACACGGUCCAGACUCCUACGGGAGGCAGCAGUAGGGAAUAUUGGACAAUGGAGGAAACUCUGAUCCAGCCAUGCCGCGUGAUAGAUGAAGGCCCUCUGGGUUGUAAAUAUCUUUUAUCUGGGAAGAAACACUCCUAUUCUUAGGAACUUGACGGUACCAGAGGAAUAAGCACCGGCUAACUCCGUGCCAGCAGCCGCGGUAAAG